rnacentral:rRNA from 1 species
UACGAAGGGGGCUAGCGUUGCUCGGAAUCACUGGGCGUAAAGCGCACGUAGGCGGAUCUUUAAGUCAGGGGUGAAAUCCUGGAGCUCAACUCCAGAACUGCCUUUGAUACUGGGGAUCUCGAGUCCGGAAGAGGUGAGUGGAACUCCGAGUGUAGAGGUGAAAUUCGUAGAUAUUCGGAAGAACACCAGUGGCGAAGGCGGCUCACUGGGUCCGGUACUGACGCUGAGGUGCGAA